rnacentral:sRNA from 1 species
CCACCUUCCCACCUGCUGCAGGGAGGGCCCUCGGCUGAGCCUUCAGACACACUUGCACCCCAUCCGCUCCCCUCCUGAACUUCUUCUGACCCUCCCUUGGCUUCACAGCACCUGAAGGCCAGGCUGAGGCCCCCUGCUCUCAUGGCCAGCCCUGGAAAGCCUGGGGCUGAUGAGGCCCAGGAGGAGGAGGGGGAACUCGAGGGGGGCUCUGCAGGGCCGCGGGCUGCAAUACUGGAGCAGGCUGAGGAGCUGUUUCUGCUGUGUGACAAGGAGGCUAAGGGCUUCAUCACCAAGCACGACCUGCAGGUGAGUCCCCCGCCCCAAGAGACUGCUUUGGCCCUGGGUUGACCGCAGCGGCUCAUCUCUGCUCUCCUUCCCCGACCAGGGUCUCCAGAGCGACCUGCCCCUCACGCCAGAGCAGCUGGAGGCUGUGUUUGAAAGUCUGGACCAGGCUCACACUGGCUUCCUCACCGCCAGGGAGUUCUGCCUGGGCCUGGGUGAGCCUGUGGCCUGCCUAUCCCCCACUGCCCAGAGCUGGAGGCCUGAUCAGGAGGCCUGGCACUUGUGGCGCCCUGAGGGCUGCCGGUGCCUCUCGUCCUCCUCCCUCCAGGGCCCGUGCUUUGUCUGCACGCACUCGUGCAUGGGGGCUCCUAGCUGCGGUGGAGUGUGUGGAGCUGACCUUCCUGGCCCCCAGCUCCUCUCCUGUGCUAAGCUCCGGGAUGUUUGUGGGGGUGGCGUCAGCCCAGGGAGCGAACCCCUGCAGGACUCCCGAGGAGACCUUUGAGUCGGGCGGGCUCGACGUGCAGGGCACGGCGGGCUCUCUGGAUGAGGAGGAGGAAGAGGAGGAGCGAUUCCACACUGUGCUGGAGCAGCUGGGGGUGGCCCCGGUCCUGGGCGAGUGAGUCGGCGCUGG